rnacentral:misc_RNA from 1 species
GCAGAAAUGAUGAAGACACUGUUCGCCAGUUGCAGACACAGUAGUUGCCACCUGUACGGGCAGCUAUAACGCUGACCAGGAGUUGGCCGAGUCGUUCAUCCUUCAGCGUUGGAUGCGUGGACCAACUGACCUAUAGGCGUGCAUCAUAUCAAAAUUACAUGUAGGAAGAAUUGUGUACAAACUAUAAUAAUAUUUUUUAGCCUAUAGCCGAGUGAAAAUAUCUGCCCAAUCGUUCCAACUUUGAUUUGUUGAUUUAUUUCUCACUUCGCCACUAGGACUUAAGUUUGAACAUGUCAGGUUCUGAGGCAGAUAUUGGGGAAACCUUUAAAGUAAGUGAACCAAUUACUUUGGAAUCUGAGGAAGGCCAGCGGCUUCUGGAUGAAGCUGAAGUUCGUCAAGACAUCUUAAUGGACGUGUUUGAUUUCCAGCAGCACUAUUCGCACUGUGGCAUACAGAGUGCAGCGCUUCUUCUUGCAUCCUUUGAAUGUGGAAAAGCGUGUCGUGAAGCAGGGCAUCGCAACUUCAGACACUGUAAGGACAUUAAGGAGCAGUACCACGGAUUUGCUAUGUUCGCCUUCAAGGAGACCGAGGAGAUCAUUACCCAUGAUGUCGUCCAGAAAAAAGGCACCUCAUUGAUGGAUGUAGGCCAGUUACUCGUCAGCCACAAACACCAAGCUACGAUGUACUUUGGUCAAGAGUCCUCCGUGGAUGAAUUCCGCUGUCUAGCCGUGGAAGCCCUGCGCCAUGAAGAUUCCAGCGCUGGAGUUAUUCUGAACUUCCAGCGAUACCUUUUGGGUCAAAUCGGGAAGGCUUCCAAGUUUGGACAUCACAGUCCCUUUUGCGCGUAUCACAAAGCCUCUGACCGCUUUCUAAUGCUUGAUACUAAUGGUAUUGUCAUGAAUGCUGGCAAACCCAAAGUGUGGUUAAAGACCGAAGAUUUGUUUCAGGCAACGCAAGAUGUUGAUGUAGCUACUGGAAAGUCGCGAGGAUUUGUGAUCAUGGGUGGUGUUAUCUGAACAUACUUUCAGGCAUUUUAUUAACUUGGAGCAUCUCGUGUUUAUUUAGAGUAUUGUAGCAUGUAUAAUGGUUCAAAAACAGGCUUAAAUUGUUUUUAAUGAAUUCAAAUGUUGCAACAGUGUACCCCUUUAAAUUUUAAAUCUCAACCAUUUGUCAGACUGUUUGAACAGAAAACUAGCAGACUUUAUUUGAUUUUCUUUGCCUGUCAUUUUUAUCUGGAAGACUUUCCUUUAUUAACUUGGAGCAUCUCGUGUUUAUUUAGAGUAUUGUAGCAUACUUAAUCUGAGGCCAGUGUUUUCCUAAUAUAAAAUACUUUAUUAUAUACAUAUAUUUUAUUACAUACAUGUUUUUUCAACUAUAUUUUACUAUUUUGUUAAGCUAAUGUUCCAGUCUUCCAGAUAAAAAUGACAGGCAAAGAAAACCAAAUAAAGUCUGCUAGUUUUCUGUUUAAACAGUCCGACAAAUGGUUGAGAUUUAAAAUUUAAAGGGGUACACUGUUACAACAUUUGAAUUCAUUAAAAACAAUUUUAGCCUGUUUUUAUAAUAAAUAUUUAUUUCUCAUUAAUAUGUAUGCUAAUUAGUCUAAGGUCUCGGUCUCGGUCUCGCCCAUAAGAUAUCGGUCUCCGAGUCUCGGCUUUGGACCCUUCGGUCUCGGUGUCGGUCCUAAGGUCUUGGUUUCGGUCUCGGUCUCGAGCUUUCAGGUCUCGACUACAACACGGGUUUUAUUAUUCAUGCUGUGCACUGACAUGGUGCCAUUUUGAAGAGUAUUUUACACACUAGAAGAAUGUUGUCUUUAUUAUCUAAUGCAAUAACAUAUGGACAAUUCAAUGUGAGCAGCAUUGAUGAAUAUAGGAAUGACUCAUAAUUGUUUAAUUCAUUAAUAGAAAUAAGCAGUUAUCUAUAACCAUCACGUUAAUUAAAAUGGACAGACUUUGAUAUUUUGUAUUUUUA